UACGUAGGUGGCAAGCGUUGUCCGGAUUUACUGGGCGUAAAGAGCGCGCAGGCGGCCAGGUCAGUCGAAUGUGAAAGCCCCCGGCUCAACUGGGGAGGGUCGUUCGAUACUGCCUGGCUCGAAGGUAGGAGAGGGAAGUGGAAUUUCAGGUGUAGUGGUGAAAUGCGUAGAUAUCUGAAGGAACACCAGUGGCGAAGGCGACUUUCUGGCCUAUUCUUGACGCUGAGGCGAGAAAGCUAGGGGAGCGAACGGG
rnacentral:rRNA from 1 species